rnacentral:lncRNA from 1 species
UUAGCUAUAUAUAUCUGGCAUUAGACAAUGCCCAAAUUGGAAUCUUGAUUAGUACAGAGUAUAUCAUUUGUAUAUAAAAAUAUUGACAAGUACAGGCAAAUGUAUAUUUUAUACACGCGUGUAAAAGGAAUGUUCUUUGUGUGUUAAAAAAAGAACAUGUAAAUGACGUAACGUAAUGGUUUUAAUAUGAAACUCAUUACCUGGAAGAAAAAAUAUCAUUUUAGUUAAAAAGAAGAAAAAAAGUGUUUACCAAAUAAAUAAAUGAGAUAAUUAUGUUGACAAAAAAGAUGUUAACAUUUAGACCCCCAACCCAAAAAAAAAAUGUUGACAAAAAAAGAGGUCUUUAU